rnacentral:rRNA from 1 species
AUUGAACGCUGGCGGCAUGCUUUACACAUGCAAGUCGAACGGUAACAGGGAGCUUGCUCCGCUGACGAGUGGCGAACGGGUGAGUAAUGCAUCGGAACAUGCCCAGUCAUGGGGGGAUAACUACGCGAAAGCGUAGCUAAUACCGCAUACGCCCUGAGGGGGAAAGUGGGGGAUCUUAGGACCUCACGUGAUUGGAGUGGCCGAUGUCAGAUUAGCUAGUUGGUGAGGUAAAGGCUCACCAAGGCGACGAUCUGUAGCGGGUCUGAGAGGAUGAUCCGCCACACUGGGACUGAGACACGGCCCAGACUCCUACGGGAGGCAGCAGUGGGGAAUUUUGGACAAUGGGCGCAAGCCUGAUCCAGCCAUGCCGCGUGAGUGAAGAAGGCCU